CGCUUCAAAGCACAGCACCUUCAUUCCGCUCUUUAGAACAUGCUUGUCACAGCUCUUUAUCGAUAUUGAAGACGAAAUUUCUUCUCAAAAGAAAGCAUCUUUCAACUCCUUGAGCGAUGCCAUAUCUUUCAGCUUUGUGUUUCGUCUCUUCUGCGAAAAAGAUCCCUCUACCACCAAGAUUGGAUCUAAAGGUCCAAAAAUGGUAGAUAAAUGGUUAGCUCUGCAACUAGCACCACUCGCAACCCUAAACCCAUCAAGUUUCUUGAAAUAUCUGGACGAUCUUUUGCUUCAUACAUUUCCAUUUCCAUUCUUCCUAGUAAAAGAUCGUCAAGAUAUUUCAAGAAACUUGAUGGGUUUAGGGUUGCGAGUGGUGCUAGUUGCAGAGCUAACCAUUUAUCUACCAUUUUUGGACCUUUAGAUCCAAUCUUGGUGGUAGAGGGAUCUUUUUCGCAGAAGAGACGAAACACAAAGCUGAAAGAUAUGGCAUCGCUCAAGGAGUUGAAAGAUGCUUUCUUUUGAGAAGAAAUUUCGUCUUCAAUAUCGAUAAAGAGCUGUGACAAGCAUGUUCUAAAGAGCGGAAUGAAGGUGCUGUGC
rnacentral:misc_RNA from 1 species